rnacentral:misc_RNA from 1 species
UAGAGAUUGCUGUUAGAUUUUGAAAAUCCUUUGUGGAAUUUUUUGUUUCCAGUUGUUGGCCUUUACCUGCUAGGUUUAGACAAAAAUGGAAGAUUAUUCUUCUCGUUGGUAUUUGCUUGCUCUGUUUUUCUUUUGCUUUGCCUUUGAAAAUUCCAAUGAAGACAUUGAAAGCAUGCUUGUUUUUCUUUUUAUUGCUCCUAAUUGAAAAAGAAAAAAAAAAGUGUAAAAUCUGUUUUCUUGGUGCAAUUUUUGUGUAGGGAGAAAAUCAAUCACAGGGAGCUUCAU